rnacentral:rRNA from 1 species
GAUGAACGCUGGCGGCGUGCUUAACACAUGCAAGUCGAACGGAAAGACCCAAACUUGCUUGGGUACUCGAGUGGCGCACGCGUGUGUAACACGUGGGUGUUCUGCCCUUCACUUCGGGAUAUGCCUGGGGAAAUGGGGCUAAUACCGGGUAGGACGAUGGUUUGGGUGUGAUUCUGGAGAGAUUGUUCGGUGUGGGAUGAGUUCUCGGCGUAUCAGCUUGUUGGUGGGGUAAUGGUUUACCAAGGCGUCGACGCGUAGCCGGUCCGAGAGGGAGAUCAGCCACACGAGAACGGAGACACGGACCAGACCCCUGCGGGAGGCAGCAGUCGGGCAUGUGGCAGAAUGGGCGAAAGCCUGACGAAGCAACGCCGCGUGAGGGAUGAAGGGUUUGGGCGCGUAGAACUCUGUCAGUAGGUAAGAACCUACGUGUAGGUACCAGUCGAUGUUGUGACGGUACCUGGAGAAGAAGCACCGGCUAACUACGUG